AGCGAACGCUGGCGGCAGGCCUAACACAUGCAAGUCGAACGGACCCUUCGGGGUUAGUGGCGGACGGGUGAGUAACACGUGGGAACGUGCCUUUAGGUUCGGAAUAGCUCCUGGAAACGGGUGGUAAUGCCGAAUGUGCCCUUCGGGGGAAAGAUUUAUCGCCUUUAGAGCGGCCCGCGUCUGAUUAGCUAGUUGGUGAGGUAAAGGCUCACCAAGGCGACGAUCAGUAGCUGGUCUGAGAGGAUGACCAGCCACAUUGGGACUGAGACACGGCCCAAAAUCCUACGAGAGGCAGCAGUGGGGAAUCUUGCGCAAUGGGCGAAAGCCUGACGCAGCCAUGCCGCGUGAAUGAUGAAGGUCUUAGGAUUGUAAAAUUCUUUCACCGGGGACGAUAAUGGCGGUACCCGGAGAAGAAGCCCCGGCUAACUUCGUGCCAGCCGCCGCGGUAACAC
rnacentral:rRNA from 1 species